CCAGACUCCUACGGGAGGCAGCAGUGGGGGAUAUUGCACAAUGGGGGAAACCCUGAUGCAGCGACGCCGCGUGGGUGAAGAAGCGCCUCGGCGCGUAAAGCCCUGUCAGCAGGGAAGAAGAUGACGGUACCUGAAGAAGAAGCCCCGGCUAACUACGUGCCAGCAGCCGCGGUAAUACGUAGGGGGCAAGCGUUAUCCGGAUUUACUGGGUGUAAAGGGUGCGUAGGCGGCCCUGCAAGUCAGAAGUGAAAUCCAUGGGCUUAACCCGUGAACUGCUUUUGAAACUGCAGGACUUGAGUGGAGUAGAGGUAGGCGGAAUUCCCGGUGUAGCGGUGAAAUGCGUAGAGAUCGGGAGGAACACCAGUGGCGAAGGCGGCCUACUGGGCUUUAACUGACGCUGAAGCACGAAAGCGUGGGUAGCAAACAGGAUUAGAUACCCUGGUA
rnacentral:rRNA from 1 species